rnacentral:rRNA from 1 species
UGGGGAAUUUUGGACAAUGGGCGCAAGCCUGAUCCAGCAAUGCCGCGUGCAGGAUGAAGGCCUUCGGGUUGUAAACUGCUUUUGUACGGAGCGAAAAGGUCUGCCCUAAUACGGUGGGCUCAUGACGGCACCGUAAGAAUAAGCACCGGCUAACUACGUGCCAGCAGCCGCGGUAAUACGUAGGGUGCGAGCGUUAAUCGGAAUUACUGGGCGUAAAGCGUGCGCAGGCGGUUAUAUAAGACAGGUGUGAAAUCCCCGGGCUCAACCUGGGACCUGCAUUUGUGACUGUAUAGCUAGAGUACGGUAGAGGGGGAUGGAAUUCCGCGUGUAGCAGUGAAAUGCGUAGAUAUGCGGAGGAACACCGAUGGCGAAGGCAAUCCCCUGGACCUGUACUGACGCUCAUGCACGAAAGCGUGGGGAGCAAACA